UACAGAGGGUGCGAGCGUUAAUCGGAAUUACUGGGCGUAAAGCGCACGUAGUCGGCUUUGCAAGUCGGUUGUGAAAUCCCCGGGCUCAACCUGGGAACUGCAUCCGAGACUGCAUUGCUAGAGUAUGGGAGAGGGACGCGGAAUUCCAGGUGGAGCGGUGAAAUGCGUAGAGAUCUGGAAGAACACCAAAGGCGAAGGCAGCGUCCUGGGAAGCAUCUGACGCUCAGGUGCGAAAGCUAGGGGAGCGAACGGG
rnacentral:rRNA from 1 species